GGUCCAGAAAGAACAUAUUUUAUGUUUUGGGCACCAAGAGGCAAAAAUCAAGAUAGUAUAUGGGUACUUAUAUAACAGAGAAAAUUCCUCUCACCCAAACAUACACGGAUGGGCUGUCCAGGACAGUCUCCUGCAGCCAUCUCCACUGGCUGGUGAGGUAGGUAAGGGAAUGGAGGGGCUGAGCUGCUGGGGGUUGGAGGUAGGUAGGGUAUGAAUAUUGGAGGUAAUUCACCAAGUCUCCAGCUCCCAAAAUGAAAUUCCACCACAGAGAGCCUGACAGUGGCCAACAGCCGAGUCACCAUCGUGUGGUUGGAGGCCAAUGCCAGCCCUGGCCAGUGGCUGAGGUGGGUGUAGAGUGGACUGGACAGUGGGCAGAGGGGAACCCCUGGCUAGUCCCCAGGCUCACAGUGCUAUCCCAGAGUGAUACCCGGGGACCAUAUGAAAGUGGUCAGCCAGCUGAAUUUGAACCUUGCAGGUUUUCAGACCUCUGAUCUAUACUAGUAGAUCUCAGUUUGGGUGGGGGCAGUCUCUGUAUGGUUUUACUGCAUCAUGGUGCCAUUUUUUACGUGCAGCACAUACCUAUCGGUAUUGCAUUUUGCUACAUUGUUGCGUGAAGAUUCUAAGGCAGGAACUAGGAUAAUGUGGCCCUACCUUGAGACCCAUGAUGUGAUCCAGUGCCCUCAUUUUAAAGGAGAGAGAGUAGGGACCCUAAGCAUGAAUUGAUUUGCUCAGAGUCAGAAAGUUUGUACAUGACUAUGCUGUGACUGGAAUCCCAGAUUCUAAAUCCAGUAUUCUUUCUCCUACCUUAUGCUGUCUCUGUAAUUGGAUAAUUAGUAGAGUCUAAUCCAGAUCAUUUGCGUGGGCUGCAAAAUAAAUACCAUUUAACCCUGAAUUCUAAAAAUAAAUUGGGAGAAGUUUUCUUCCCUGUGAGCUGCCUCUUCUUCCAUGUUGUGGUACUCUUCAUAUUCUCAUCAGCAGGAUGAUAGAUAAUGUACAUGUUUUUUCUUUACUUCCCUUAUGGUUAUGACUGACACCUCCAAGACUGUUCUUUCUAAGGUGGUUUUCCAUAAACUUGAUCUCUUUCUCAGCUUCCAUUGUAUUUUCAAAAUGGCAGGGGCUGUAUUUUGCAUAAUAAAUGAAGGCCAAUUGGAUGACAGGUCAUACCACCAAUUACCCUGUAUUUCUCUAAGUACAAUUUAUCAUCAAAUUUUGUUUCCAAAAAUCAUUUGUUCCCUCUCAAAUAUUAUUAAUAUUUUUGGUAAAAUAGUGUAUUUUUCUCAAACCUUAUAUAUAUAAAUCAAAUUAAUUAUGUUAUUAAAAUAUGACAAUGUUAAAAUCUCUGAAUGUGUGUGUGUGUGUGCGUGUGUGUGUGUGUUUUCUUCCCAAAGGAUCUGAAAAAUGUAUUUUCAGCUGCUCCAGUUUCAGAUGGAACAUUACCAAAAACAGAAGAUGAAACUAUACUUAGUACUGAUUCUAAUAAAACACCAAAUGCUGGAGAAGGCAAAUCAAGUGAUAGUUUCUCUGAACUUACUGUGCGUGCUCAGCUUGGUGCAAAAUCAGAAAAGUUGCUGAAGAAAGGAAAGAGCAUUUCUGACAUGUUGCUAGUUAGCAUCAUGACAAAUGCUAUUAAUCAGAUACCUGCGGAUCAAGGCUGGAUUCUUGAUGGUUUUCCAAUGACAUUAAACCAAGCAAAGCUUCUGGAAGAAGCUCUGACAGGCUGCAACAGAGACCUUAUUGAACUGGAGGGAAAGAAAACACCAAUACCCACACUGGCUGUUGAUACUACAACUUCUAAAGAAGUGCCUCUUCCCCCUUCUGCGUUUGAUUUUGUUAUGUUAUUGGAUAUUUCAGAUAAUUCCUCACUGAAUCGCAUGAAUGACAUCAUGGCUGAAGCAUUUUUAAAUGAAACUCCUCAUGAAGAUAUCAGUCAACGUGUAGCUGCCAAAAACCCAGAUAUGGAUGAAGACCAGAAUUUAAGAGACCAAAUACAGCAUCGAAUUAUAGGCUUCUUGGACAACUGGCCUUUAUUGGAACAAUGGUUUACAGAGCCAGAAAAUAUUUUGAUAAAAAUCAAUGCUGAAACAGAUAAGGAGUCUGUAUGUCAAAAAGUAAAAGAAAUGUUUACGACUGAAAUAACGAAAAAGGAGAAUAGAGUUAAAAAGAAAUUAGAAGAAAAGGAAGCUCAGAAAAAGGAAGAAGUUUCACUGGCUGAGCCGCCAGCUCCUGCUCUUCCUCCCCCUCCUCCUCCUCCUGAACCAGAAAAAGAGAAGGAAAUCCAUCCUCAGGGUGAGCGUUCAGAAACUCCCGCUGCAAAAGGAAAACCGCCAUCAGAACCUCCACAUGGUAAGCAAGAAUCUCUUCAGGAAGGAAAAGGGAAGAAAGGUGAAACUUCACUCAAAAGAAAAGGUUCUCCUAAAGAAAAAUCUCCAGGAGGGAAACCACCAGCAAAGAUAUCACCUGCUGACUCUAUAGAUAUGUCACCUGCUCCUCUAGUACCACCACAACCUAAGCCUGGAUUGGAAGAAUGGGUCUACGUAGAUGAACCAAUUCCUGAGGAAAUACCUUCAUUUUUAGUACCUUACUGGGAACUGAUAGAAAAUUCCUAUGUAAACUCUGUCAAAACAGUACUCAGGCAUCUGAGAGAGGACCAGCAUUCUGUGCUUUCUUACUUAUAUGAGAUUAGAACAAGUUUCCAGCAGUUUCUAAGGCGUCCAGACCACAAGCAAGAUUUCGUAUCUCAAUGGCAGGCGGAUUUCAACUCUUUUCCUGAAGACCUGUGGGAUGAUGAGGAAACGAAAGCUGAACUACACCAAAGAGUGAAUGAUUUACGAGACCGCCUGUGGGACAUUUGUGAUGCCCGGAAGGAAGAGGCAGAGCAAGAGCGCAUGGAUAUCAUUAGUGAGAGCUGGUUUCAGGACUUGAUUGGGAUAACGAUGAACCAUUUCUUCUCACUGAUGCAGGCAGAACUAAACCGUUUCCAAGAUACAAAGAGACUCCUUCAAGAUUACUACAGGGGGAUGGAAUGCAAAAUCCCAACAGAUGAUGACAGUAAGAGAUUUACUCGAGUCCCAUUGGUCCAACUGAAUGGUAGAGACAUUUUGGAAAAUCAACUUAGAAUUCCUCUAGUUCCUCGAAUAUCCAUUUCUCCAGAUUCAGCUCUAUCCAAACCGAAAAUAAAAGCCACACUGAAGGGCAAAAUGGAUCACUCGCUAGAAAAUGUAGAGUUAAACUUUGAGGCAGAUGAGAAGUUGGUAAUGGACACCUGGCAGCAUGCUUCUUUAGCAGUCUCCCACAUGGUGGCUGCUGAAAUUCAUCAGAGGCUCACGGAAGAAGAAAAAGAAUACCAGCCAGCAGACUCAACAGAAAAAUCUCUUCAGAUGGGUGUAAAUAAAAAAGUCAAAAAGGAACUACCCAAGAAAAAUAAGGAGGAAAAGAAAGCAAAAGGUAAAUCACCACCUCUGGCAGAAGCUGCUCCUGUAAUAGUACCUGCAGAGGAGAUUGCCGAGAUAGAAAGGAAAAAUGAACUGAGGCUCAAAAUAAAGGAAGAACAUCUUGCUGCCCUGCAGUUUGAAGAGAUUGCCACACAGUUCCGACUUGAAUUGAUAAAGACAAAAGCAUUGGCUUUCCUUGAAGAUUUACUAACAAAGGCAGUUGAUGUAUAUAAACUCAUGGAAAAGUGGCUUGGUGAAAGGUACUUGAAGGAAAUGGCCAGUGUGGAAAAAUUAACUGAAGUAGCUCGCUAUCAUAUUGAAACAUCUACAAAAAUUCAGAAUGAACUUUAUUUAGACCAAGAAGACUUCUUCAUUAAUGGUGAUAUAAAAGUCUUUCCAGAUCCUCCUCCUCCAAUACGUCCUCCACCUGUAGAAAAGGAAGAAAAUGGCACACUGACCAUCGAACAGCUGGACAAUCUUCGAGAUCAGUUCUUAGAUACAGCACCGAAAGCCAGGAAUCCUCCAGAUGAUGUGAAUCCAGUCACCAAAAAGCAGAAAAAGCUACAGGAAAUUGACCAUUACUUUCCAAAGAGGAGCAAUCAAUUUUUGAAAAUUUGGCUAAAAAAAUACCCUUGGCUUGUAUAUGAUGAGAUACUAAACCUUAUGUUCUGUGGCCUGUGUCGCAAGCAUGGAGUAAAGUCAAAGGGGAACCAAGAGAUGAGCUUUUGUUACGGCACUGACAACUUCAGGACUGAAUUCCUCAGUGCACAUCAUCUCAGUGAGGCUCAUGCCAAGGCCUCAUUAAUGGAGGCAACAAGUGGUUCUCCGGUGAACAGAGCCACCACACAGCUGAUGAUGAGGACCAUGAGCAAGGUAACCUUCGGGAGAGUAGAGAACUUAUUCAGAUCAUGCCAUGCUAUUGCGAAGACUGGACGUCCCCUCAGCGAUUUUAUCUGGAUGUGCAAGUUGGAUGAUAUGAAAGGUAUUGAUAUUGGCCCAGUGUUCAGAACUAACAGAUCAGCAAGAAUAUUUACAUAUUUCAUUGCUGAAGUUGAACGGAGAAAUCUAAGAGAGAAACUAGAACAGAGUAAAUUUUUCUCUGUAAUCAGCGACGGAAUCACAGACAGUUCAACUAAGGAAGCUGAACUUGUCUAUGUGCAGUUUGCACAGGCAGGGAAAGUGCAUUGUCAAAUUGUUGGGGUACAAACAAUAGAAAAGAAGGAUUCUCUGGCAAUAAAAAGUGCCAUUGAGAAAACUCUAGAGAUAAAUCUUCAACUAAGUCUGUCAAACCAAAAUUGGGCAAACAAACUGGUUGGUUUUGGAAGUGAUGGUACCUCUGGCUCAACAGGAGAAACCAACGGGGUGGCCCUGCUUUUAAGAGAAAUCCAGCCUUGUGUGCUGACUGUAUACUGCUUUGCACAUCAUCUUGAGCUAUCCUUCAAGACGGUGUUCCAGAGCAUUCCCCUGUACAAUGAAGUCAGUGACCUUCUUCACAGCAUCUAUCACUUCUAUCACAAUUCUCCUCUUCAUAAGAGUUCUCUGAUAACCACUUUCAAAGGCCUUCACCUUCAACCUGUGAUGCCUUCUCACAUAGGAGGCAGGAGGUGGCUUCUGGGCUUACAGGCAGCCCUUCAGAACUUUCUCAAGGGAUAUCCUGCAAUUGUCCAGCAGCUGCAUUCAGCAGAUGAAGGCAGAAGUGACACCAAUCAUCAGAAAGCCAAAGACCUUCUAGAGUUCCUUCUCCAAGCAGACAUUGUUAAAUUUAUCCAUUUCUUAGUGGAUGUUAUUAAUAUCCUUAGCAUUCUUUCCCAUGUCAAUCAGAACAGAAAUUCUUCAAUUGGUGACAUAUUUGCCACUUUGGAGUCAACACUGGAAAUGCUCAAAAUAUAUCAAACACGACCAGGGCCAAAAGAACGUAGGGUGGAUUCAGUCACACACUUUCAUGGUUACUGCCUGGGAGGAAAGGGAAACAUUUCUGAUGUGAGAAACACGGUUUUAACACUUCUUAUCAAGAAGCUGAAAAGCUGUUUCAAAGACGCCAGUGAAGAUGUGGUGAAGGCUACCACAAUUGGAAGCUUUAAAUUGUGGCCUGCAAAGAUAAAUCAAGAAUUUGGAGAAAAAGAGGUAUCCAUCCUGACUGCACAUUAUGAACCAGUACUGGAAGCUGCCAAUGUAAGAAUUGAGGAAGUAGACACUGAAUGGAGCAUGUUGAAAUUGGAGAUUUAUGCUAGAUUUCAGAACAUCCGCAAAUUGACCUGGGAUUUUGUGAAUUCUGUUUACUUACACAAAUAUCCAAAUAUCCUGACACUAGUGGACCUAGUGUUGACCCUCCCUGCAAGUUCGGCUGAGGCAGAACGUGGCUUUAGUCAGAUGGAACGCACCAAGUCACAAAUGCAUGCCAAGAUCAAGGCUGAAAGCAUGACAGAUGUCUUGAUAAUUCAGUUGAAUUCUCCAGACAUUAAUAAUUUUGACCCUAGGAAAGCUAUCCACUUAUGGAAUACAAGAACACUGUCUUCAACUGGUGACACAAGACCUAAUUCAGAUUGCUCAUCAAACUCAGAAAGCCACUGUGAAAGUGACUGGUAAUGUGACAAACGUUGGAUUUGUCAUUGAUCAUAGCAAAAAAAAUUGUUUUCAAAAAAGCUGAAAUUUAAAAGUAAGCAAUAACCAUUCUUCACAUCAAACACAAAAGGCAUUUGGUAUCUCCCAAACAUACAAAGCAAAAAUCCAAAGAUUGGUGUUCCUGUAACUUUCUAAGUCUACUUCUGUAUUCACACAUACUUUCACAUUCUUUGGGUGGAGGUGGAUACUUCUAAGCAAUGGUGUUAUUUUGAUGUCAUCUUUCUGAGAGUUAUUGCUAAGUCCAGACUAUGAUUAUGGUCUGAGUUCCUUCAGGUCCGGCAUAUGGUUAACUAUUUUUCCUGGAAAUUCUAAAUGACUGUUGGAUCAGAUAACUAAUUUAGGGCCAAAUUGAUAGAGGGUUUCUUUUGGCCCAUGAAUAAAAUUUGUAUAAGUUCAUCUGUUUAUCUUCAUUAUAUGUGAAGAUCAUAUUACUACAUGCCUUGGCCGUUGAAGUAACGAAUCAAAUUUAAAAUGUUUUUCACAUUUUAUACUGAGUUCACCAGAUAAACAAUUUAUAUGUAAGCUGAAAGUAUUAUUCAUGGUUUCAUCCUGAGAAUCAUGAAUGAUUGAUUUCUAACUUACCUGAAAACUAAUAUGGUAUCACAUAAAUCUUGUUGGACUGAAAAUUCUACUACCUGGGAAAAUGUUCUCAUCUCCAUAAAACUGGAUACUCAGGUUUGAUCGAGAAGGAGAGAGAAUUUAUCUGAACAACCUGCUGGAUGGCCAAUCAUAUCAAAGAAAGAAAGAGUCUGCUGCUCUUGCUACCCAGAAGAUUAACUUCCAGAUCUCAAGACUGUAUAUAUUUGGUUUGAACCACUGAAAUUUCUAAAGGAUUGUUGCAUUUUCCUAAAGGUGUGAUAGGAAAUAAAGCCUUUACUGACAUUCUGAUUGAUUUGGUAACCCUGGACCUUGGAACAAACAACUUUCCUAGUAGCUGGAUGCACCUCACUCAACCUGAAGUAAGCUUCAAUUUUGUUUGGUUUUCAG